GACGAACGCUGGCGGCGUGCUUAACACAUGCAAGUCGAACGGAAAGGCCCUGCUUUUGUGGGGUGCUCGAGUGGCGAACGGGUGAGUAACACGUGAGUAACCUGCCCUUGACUUUGGGAUAACUUCAGGAAACUGGGGCUAAUACCGUAUAGGAGCUCCUGCUGCAUGGUGGGGGUUGGAAAGUUUCGGCGGUUGGGGAUGGACUCGCGGCUUAUCAGCUUGUUGGUGGGGUAGUGGCUUACCAAGGCAGUGACGGGUAGCCGGCCUGAGAGGGUGACCGGGCACAUUGGGACUGAGAGACGGAGCAGAGUGGUACGGGAGGCAGCAGUGGGGAAUAUUGCACAGUGGGCGGGAGCGUGAGGCAGCAACGCCGCGUGCGGGAAGACGGCCUUCGGGUUGUAAACCGCUUUAGCCUGUGACGAAGCGUGAGUGACGGUAAUGGGUAAAGAAGCACCGGCUAACUACGUG
rnacentral:rRNA from 1 species